AUACAAUGUGUUGUGUACGAUAAUCUGGGGAACCCCCGCCACACGGCACCACUCACAUGUCCGCCGCGGCAGUGCUCGCCGCCCGCCGCCCCGCCGACGCCGGACACAUGUUUUCCUCGCGCCUCUCCCGCUCGGCGCUAAGGCAAGGAUCCAAUGUAUUGGUGCGGUUUUGUUCAGGAGGGGAGGCAGGGUCCCAAGGGAAGGCCCCCAUCACUAAGAUACCCCUGAGUGAGUCUGUAUCCUGGCUGCCCAAACCUGUCUACGCUUCACCUGCAGAUAUUGACCAUGAAACGAGAGUCACAACACUGGAAAAUGGACUGCGUGUGGCCUCUGAGCCAAAGUUUGGAAACUUUUGUACAGUUGGAGUUGCAAUUGAUAGCGGCAGCAGAUUUGAGGUGGCCUUCCCAAGUGGAAUAUCACAUUUCCUGGAAAAGUUAGCUUAUAGGAAUUCACAAAAUAUGACAAGAGAGAAAAUUAUGGGAACAUUUGAAAAGCUUGGUGGCAUCUGUGAUUGCCAGUCUUCACGGGACACACUGAUAUAUGCAACUUCAGUGGAAGCAAGAGGAAUGCCAGAAGCUGUCAAGAUAUUAUCUGAAGUAAUUUUAAGGCCCAAGCUUGAGCAAGAGGAGAUAACAGAUGCAAGAAUGGCUGUGACAUUUGAUUUGGAAGACUUACAGCUGCGACCUGAGAAAGAUGUCCUGCUCACUGAAAUGAUUCAUGCUGCUGCAUUUAGAGACAACACUCUUGGUCUUCCCAAAAUCUGUCCUCUGGAGAACAUAACAAAAAUUGACCGAUCAACUCUGUUCACCUACCUGAAACACCACCACACUCCAAAGCGCAUGGUGCUGGCUGGCGUGGGAGUGGAACACGACGCUCUUGUUGAAUAUGCUCAGAAAUACUUUGUUGAAAUUCCUCCUAUUUGGGAAACAGACCAGAGUUUGGUCAAUGUCCACAGGAUUGCAGUUGACCAAUCUGUUGCUCAGUACACAGGAGGACUUGUCAAGGAAGAAGCUGAUCUUUCUGAUGUGUCGAUAGGCCCCAACCCACUGCCAGAACUUGCUCAUCUUGUUAUUGGGCUGGAAUCUGUGGGCCACCAGCAUAAAGACUUUGUCAGCCACUGUGUCCUCAACAUGAUGAUGGGAGGUGGUGGCAGCUUCAGCGCUGGAGGGCCUGGCAAGGGAAUGUACACACGUCUGUACACUAAUGUUCUCAAUAGAUUUCAUUGGAUACACAAUGCCACAGCCUACAACCACUCGUAUGAGGAUGCCGGCCUGUUCUGUAUCCAUGCCUCAGCUCACCCUUCUCAUCUCGGAGACCUCACUCAAAUCAUCACUAGGGAGCUCACAGCCAUGAAUGGCCGAAUGAGCAAGGAGGAACUAGAGCGUGCGAAGGUACAGCUACAGUCGAUGCUGCUGAUGAAUCUUGAGAGUCGACCUGUUGUAUUUGAGGACAUUGCUCGACAGGUUCUGGCCACUGGCAAGAGGCUGCAGCCGCAGCAUUUCAUAGAUCUGAUAAAGAAAGUGACGGACGAUGAUAUAAUGAAAAUUGCCGGGAAGAUGCUCCGCUCCAGGCCAUCAGUGGCUGCUCUUGGCACUCUUAAACGUCUUCCUAGGCUGCCAGACAUUAAUGGUGCUCUCCUCAGCGGGAAUGGAACAAUUUCGUCUCUAAGAAUCAUCAGUGGACAACCUAAGUGUGUGGUUCCUCACGCAACUUUGGUUGACUUGGUACUCUUUCUUAGAGGGACUCUGGCCACGGGUUUAAUUAUUAAAUACAGUAAAUGAGUUAUUCACAUCAGUUCAUCCACUGCCCAAAUGGAUAAAUAAAAAAUGUGGAUAACCUUGAAGAAGAUCUUUUGACUGGCAUGUCAUCACUGAAAUCAAGGAGUGCAUUCUGAAUUUGGUUGCUGAAGAGUACUCUGUGGUGAUGUCUACUUGCCAUGGUAAACAAUUAUGCAUGGCUGGGUGCAUCAUAGGGACGUGGAAGUGGAAUAUCAUGCCUUUAUUGAUGCGGUAAGCUGAAUGUUGUUGUUUUCCCUUUUUUGAAGGCUACUUAGGUGGUAGUUUUGUUAAUCCUUUAAAUUUAUUUUGGAAUUAAAAUUUUCGGUAGGGAUAUUGCCUCUGCAUUAAUUGGUUGCUGUCAUAAUGUAAGUUGUUUGAGCUGUGGUCAAAUAUAUAUGUUGUACAUAUUGUAUAUAUAUUUAUAUAAGUUAUUGUUAAGUUACUGUAUUUGGAAUUAAAUGUUUUAAAGUGGUGAAAAGUUCCUUAUCACUCAAAGCAUGAUGCUCUGUUGUUAUAAUGAACCCAUCUCUUAUGAAUGCCACAGCAGAAUGGAGGUCUCUCCCAAGCCAUUCCAUUUGUUUGUUGUGUUCCUCUAGUUUUCCUUAAAUUUUCAUGCCAUUUGUCAGUGGUCUCCCCUUGGGUCUCUUAAUAUUGGUUAUUUUCCAGUCUUUUGGUUCAUCAGCCGUCUUCUGUAUAGGUCCUGACCAUUGCCAUUUUUUUAUUUGAUUUUUUAAUUAAUUUUAAUUGUCCAUCUGUUGUAUUCUCUCCCACAUAUGAAUCCUGAUUGUUGCCAA